rnacentral:rRNA from 1 species
UACAGAGGUCUCAACCGUUGUUCGGAUUCAUUGGGCGUAAAGGGUGCGUAGGCGGUCGCGCAAGUCGGAUGUGAAAUCUCAGGGCUCAACCCUGAAACUGCAUUCGAUACUGCGUGGCUAGAGUGCUGGAGGGGAGACUGGAAUUUACGGUGUAGCAGUGAAAUGCGUAGAUAUCGUAAGGAAGACCAGUGGCGAAGGCGAGUCUCUGGACAGCAGCUGACGCUGAGGCACGAAGGCCAGGGGAGCAAACGGG